GACGAACGCUGGCGGCGUGCUUAACACAUGCAAGUCGAGGGCAGGGAGCAAUCCCUGACCGGCGAACGGGUGCGUAACACGUGAGCGACCUUCCGUCUUCUGGGGGAUAGCCGGCCCAACGGCCGGGUAAUACCGCAUACGCUCUUGGGGCUUCAUGGCUCUUUGAGGAAACUUCCGGGGGAGGACGAGGGGCUCGCGGCCUAUCAGCUAGGUUGGGGG
rnacentral:rRNA from 1 species